ACGCACGCUGGCGGCGUGCUUAACCCAUGCACGUCGAACGGAAAGGCCCUGCUUUUGUGGGGUGCUCGAGUGGCGAACGGGUGAGUAACACGUGAGUAACCUGCCCUUGACUUUGGGAUAACUUCAGGAAACUGGGGCUAAUACCGGAUAGGAGCUCCUGCUGCAUGGUGGGGGUUGGAAAGUUUCGGCGGUUGGGGAUGGACUCGCGGCUUAUCAGCUUGUUGGUGGGGUAGUGGCUUACCAAGGCUUUGACGGGUAGCCGGCCUGAGAGGGUGACCGGCCACAUUGGGACUGAGAUACGGCCCAGACUCCUACGGGAGGCAGCAGUGGGGAAUAUUGCACAAUGGGCGGAAGCCUGAUGCAGCAACGCCGCGUGCGGGAUGACGGCCUUCGGGUUGUAAACCGCUUUCGCCUGUGACGAAGCGUGAGUGACGGUAAUGGGUAAAGAAGCACCGGCUAACUACGUG
rnacentral:rRNA from 1 species